UCCAUUACAACAUCUCAAAAAAGCUCUGUAUUUUAGAUCAGGCUGGAAUCGGGGGUGGAUGUUGUGCUUUUAUCUGUUUUCUCAGUUUUUCUCAGGUAAGGCUUGUAGAACGGAGCCCGAAUCUCUAGCCCCGCCCCCCUUUACCCAGCUAACAACCACUGAUCGAGUGUCGAGGGCUCCAAGCUACAUUCUCAUUCUCCGCCACGUGGAGAAGACUGCGACCGUCACGUGACUGUCCGUUCCUCAGGAGGAAUAAGCUCGCGGGACUCGGGAUAAGGCGGAGCUGGAUCUGUGUGCUGUGUUAAUCCUGUCUCCAAGGUUCCUCCUCAACAAGAGAGAAAUCCGCAGGGGAACCGUUUUGGGCCAAGGUUACCUGAAAGCAAUUAUCAGGGACAUCUAACUGUUGGACCAAGGCACAUUCAAAAUGCAUUUACCGCUGCUGGUAACUCUACAUCACCUACAUCACCUACAGCCUGGAGCAGAGAUACCAUUCAUUACAGUGCAUCAUAAUAAUAAUAACAACAACAUCAGCCUUCAGCUUUUUUUUUUAUAAUUUUAUUUCUAAUUUUUCACAUUUUUCUCCCCAAUUUACACGGCCAAUUACCCAACCCACUCAUUAGGACUCCCCCUAUCACUAGUGAUUACCGAGUAUCAUCACAGCGCUAACGCUCGGAGGAAAGCGCAGCGACUCGGUUCUGAUACCUCAGCUCACAGACGCCCUGUGCUGUGGACAUCACCCUAGGAGUGAUGUAGGGAGAGAGCGCCAUCUACCCACCCGGAGGGAGCAGGGCCAAUUGUGAUUCCUCUGAGCGCCGGCAGCUUGAUGGUAAAGCUGGAUGAGUGGGGGUUCAAACCUGCAACCUCCUGUUCAUAGUAGCAGCACUUUAGACCGCUGGACCA